GCCGGGCGCGGUGGCGCGUGCCUGUAGUCCCAGCUACUCGGGAGGCUGAGGUGGGAGGAUCGCUUGAGCCCAGGAGUUCUGGGCUGCAGUGCGCUAUGCCGAUCGGGUGUCCGCACUAAGUUCAGCAUCAAUAUGGUGACCUCCCGGGAGCAGGGGACCACCAGGUUGCCUAAGGAGGGGUGAACCGGCCCAGGUCGGAAACGGAGCAGGUCAAAACUCCCGUGCUGAUCAGUAGUGGGAUCGCGCCUGUGAAUAGCCACUGCACUCCAGCCUGGGCAACAUAGCGAGACCCUGUCUCU
rnacentral:SRP_RNA from 1 species